UGCCCUUUACAUUCUCAACCCCACCAUCUCCAGGGUUGGAUGUCCCCUCGUCGCUAGACGUCGUAGGGAGUAUAUCAUCUCUUCUUGUAUAAUUGUCGAAACAACCAAAAUCAGCUGUUGAUUGUAGAUGCAUGCAAUAUUGACAAUGCACUAAAAACGGAUGUAAAAAAAACAUUAAAAGCGCCUCCAGUAAGACACAUUUUCUUGCCACAUCAGCUGAAAACACGUCCAACUGAAAGCGCUUUCAGCGCUUUCUUCUAACAUGCAGUGAAAAAGUGUCCUACGUGGAGCGCU
rnacentral:lncRNA from 1 species